CAGCGCCACGAGUGGUAACCGCGAUUAUUGGGCCUAAAGCGUCCGUAGCCGGCCUUAUAAAUCCUUUGUGAAAUUGUGCGGCUUAACCGUACAACGUGCAAGGGACACUGUAAGGCUCGAGACCGGGAGGAGUCAGAAGUAUUCCAGAGGGAGCGGUAAAAUGUUUUAAUCUCUGGAGGACUACCUAUGGCGAAGGCAUCUGACCAGAACGGAUCUGACGGUGAGGGACGAAAGCCAGGGGAGCGAACCGGAUUAGAUACCCGAGUAGUCC
rnacentral:rRNA from 1 species